AUGCUAUCUUUUUACUGCUAGGGUAACUUCUCUAUAGUUUUUUAUCCCCUCUUACAUUUUUGGACAAGUUUUCAGGAUUUUUUUUUAACUGCUUGUUUUGUGGUGUUCAAUUUCUUUUGGUAUUUGCUGUGUUUUUAACUUGUAGACAGGAAAAUUGGGAAAACUGUGUUUGCCUGUGUUAACAUUAUUACCAUUUCUUAUUGUGAAUGGUCGCAACUAACGAAGUUGGAAGUUGUGAGUUUGAGAGUUAACGCUGCUCCAGCAGGUGAUGAUGUUUUUCCUAUAGUUCAACACGACACUGUUGAGAUUGACUCCUUUACAUGGGAUUCGUCAGCUUUAGCUUUGCUCAACUUCAAUAAUUCACUGUUCAAUUUGGACCUUUUACCGUACAAACAGAUGAAUCAUGAUUCCAUUUUUUAUUUUUAUACGUAGUUUUUUUCUUCUCCUAGUUUUUCUUUUCUGUGUCAAUCCUCCUGUUGCCAUUUGUUCUUUCCUAUUUCACAAGUUGUCAAAUCCUGUUCUUGCCAUUUGUUCUCCUAUAUCAACCAUAACAUUGAGCUAUUUCAUUUAAAGGUCUAAUAUUUAGACUCUGGAUCAAGUGAUACUACUGAGUUGGUCUUUUUAUUUUCAGAAUUACUUGAAUCUUAUUUUUCCAUUUCGUUUGCUAAUUGAUUCAUCUGUCCAAUUUUUUAUAUAUGAAAAGGCAAUAGAAUAUUUUUUGCACCCAAAAUACCUUCAUUGUCUCCCCUUUUUUCUCUCCCUCUCUACAUCCCAUUUCUCUCUCCCUCCCCUUCGUGGUUCCAGUUCACUCUCUCUCUCUCUUCUUUCCCCUUGAACAUCACUCUCUCCCGAUAUUUCUCUCUUUCUAUCCCUUCCUAAACUCUAAAAUCCAAUAUAUUUCCCAAAUCAAAAACACAAAGUCACCAUAAAAUCUAGAGCAAUAAAAACCAUUUAAACAAAAUUCAUAAUCACAAAUGACUUUGGUAAAUCACAAAGGACAAAUCCAUUUGAAACAAAACCCAAAAUCACAAAUCCAUCAAUGCA
rnacentral:misc_RNA from 1 species